CUUAGAUAUACUACUGUCUAUGCAACUCCAUUGCUACCUUUUCCUACCCAGUAACAUUUCUGUCAUAGACAUGUCUUUUAAAGAAACCAAAUAAUAAUGUGUUGACUACUUCCUGUUUAAUCUUUGUGAUCUUUUCCUCAUUGAUAUGGAAUCCAGGUUUUAACUAGUUAAUUCUCUAAGUAGAAAAGAAAGGAGUCAAGAGAUAAAACAAACCAAGAAAAGUAAACCCUAAAAACAGCAAUAGAAAAGCCUCUGUUUUUCUCUCAUCUGAACAAUGCUCACUGGUAUCCAGCCCCGGUGCUACACAAUCCCAGAAGUGGCCCAGCAGGCUGGGGCUGCAGGCAUGACUGGCCGUGGGCUCACUAAUGGUAGCACUUGGUAUGAGUCAGUCACCAGCAGCAGACCCAUCAACAGGCUGCUCACCACAUCGCUGAUGGGCAAAACUAAGAAGCAGGACAGGGAAGAGGGGUCAUGCUGAGUCCAAGUGGAGCUCCCCCCAAGCUGUUAAAAAAAAUAAUUAAUUCUUCCUCUUCUGGAUUUUCCUAAGAUGGUUUGAUGGGUGAUAUCCCUGACCAUCAGGGUGGCUCACAUCAGAUGCUUUGUUUCAACAUGGCCACUUCAAUUGAGUUCAGACAAGAGAGCUUCUCCUUUUCUGUGACUUUGAUCCAACGUCAGAAUGGUAGUGAUUUCAGUGGAGAAGUCUUUAGCGGGAAGAGGAAGGCACGGCUUGUUGGAUCGCUGAUGUAACAGCAGCUGACAGCAAAUAAUUGGUUUCUGAUACUCCAAAAUGGUGAAGAAUAUCUGCCCGAAUCCCAGUGAAAUUUUGACAAAUUGCUGUCUGGGAAAAUUGAAGAUGAAAUCAGUAAAGAAAAACAAGG
ensembl:lncRNA